rnacentral:rRNA from 1 species
UGCGCAGGCGGUUCGGAAAGAAAGAUGUGAAAUCCCAGAGCUUAACUUUGGAAUGGCAUUUUUAACUACCGGGCUAGAGUAUGUCAGAGGGGGGUAGAAUUCCACGUGUAGCAGUGAAAUGCGUAGAGAUGUGGAGGAAUACCGAUGGCGAAGGCAGCCCCCUGGGAUGAUACUGACGCUCAUGCACGAAAGCGUGGGGAGCAAACAG